rnacentral:lncRNA from 10 species
CUCAGCCCGUCUGUACCCAGGCGCUCAUUAGAACAGCGUGUUGCUCCACACCGCCUUGUGGUGUUUGUUACCGCGCUCUUGGGGUUCGAACCGAUACAGCAGGCUUGCAGCUAUUUCAUUGGUUUAAACUUUUAUUUUUUUAUUGCAAAUGAAAAUUACUAUCAACUAUCAUUACAAAGCUGUAGAAUAUGAAGUUCGAAGGAAAACGCUGAAUCAGUAUACAAAAGCGUCUCAAUCAGACUCAUCCAUUUUGAAGCAAUUCCUCUGCCAUUUUGCCACCUCCUCUCAAAUUCAGCGACUUACCAGAAAGCCUGUGUGGAUGAAUAUUGCUUCCAGGAGUCACAUAAUUACAUCUAAAAUCAUAGAAUGUUAGAGCUGGAGGAAUCUUUAGAGUUUGCCCAAGGUCCUUCACCAGCAUUUUACAGAAGAUUCUUCGAUUUAACUGCUCUUAAUUACAUCCCGUUGCACUGGCCCCAUCAAGUUGCUUUAAACAGCCCUUCUAGUCAACAGAGCUGCAGAGAAAAACCUUGAGCUGUCACACUUCAUUUGUGAGAACACUCCAGAGCUUCCUCCAGCUGCUGAUUCCAAACCAGCUUCAC